GGGCGUGUAGCUCAAUGGUAGAGCAGUGGCCUUUAAGCCAUUGGUUGGGGGUUCGAGUCCCUCCACGCUCA
rnacentral:tRNA from 1 species